rfam:Capsicum annuum cultivar Zunla-1 chromosome 3, whole genome shotgun sequence
AUAUCAUUGUUUGGGCAUUUGGCCAACAUUCCAUGGAAUCUCUCCCAUACUUCAUAUAGGGGCUCUCCAUUCUUUUUCCUAAAAUUCAUAAUUUCAUCCCUUGAGUCA